UCAAUAAGCGGAGGAAAAGAAACUAACAAGGAUUCCCCUAGUAACGGCGAGUGAAGCGGGAUGAGCUCAAAUUUGUAAUCUGGCGGUCUCCGGCCGUCCGAGUUGUAGUCUGGAGAAGCGUCUUCCGUGCCGGACCGUGUACAAGUCCCUUGGAACAGGGCGUCGUAGAGGGUGAGAAUCCCGUCUCUGACACGGACCGCCGGUGCUCUGUGAUGCGCUCUCGAAGAGUCGAGUUGUUUGGGAAUGCAGCUCAAAAUGGGUGGUAAAUUCCAUCUAAAGCUAAAUAUUGGCGAAAGACCGAUAGCGAACAAGUACCGUGAGGGAAAGAUGAAAAGCACUUUGGAAAGAGAGUUAAACAGUACGUGAAAUUGUUGAAAGGGAAACGCUUGAAGUCAGUCGCGUCUUCCGAGACUCAGCCGGGUUCCAACCCGGUGCACUUUUCGGUGUCGACGGGCCAGCAUCGAUUUCGACCGUCGGAGAAAGGCUCUGGGAACGUGGCACCUUCGGGUGUGUUAUAGCCCUCUGUCGUAUGCGACGGUCGGGAUCGAGGACCGCAGCGUGCCCUUCAUCGGGCCGGGUUCGCCACGUAACGCGCUUAGGAUGCUGGCG
rnacentral:rRNA from 1 species